UUUUUUUUUUUUUUGUCUUUUUGUCUCUUUAGGGCUGCACCCUCGGCAUAUGGAGGUUCCCAGGCUAGGGGUCUAAUUGGAGCUGUAGCCACUGGCCUACACCACAGCCACAGCAACAUGGGAUCCGAGCCACGUCUGCAACCUACACCUCAGCUCAUGGCAAUGCCAGAUCCUUAACCCACUGAGUGAGGCCAGGGAUUGAACCCAUGUCCUCAUGGAUGCUAGUCAGGUUCGUUUACCAUUGAGCCAUGAUAGGAACUCCCUACAUACAAUAUUUUGUAAUUAGAGAUAAUAUACAUUAUCUUUAUUUCACUAUGGAUCCAAAAACACAAACACAGACUGUCACUUAGUCUCUAGACCAGCUGUUAUAAACUACUUUCUACAAACAUGUUUUAGACAUGAAGAAAAACUUAAUAUUAUUUAACGUUUAAUUACUGUUUACAGUUUCGUAUCUUUAAGAGAACUGGCUUUAUGGGAGUUCCCGUCGUGGCUCAGCAGUUAACAAAUCUGACUAGGAACCAUGAGGUUGUAGGUUCGAUCCCUGGCCUCCCUCAGUGGGUUAAGGGUCUGGUGUUGCCAUGAGCUAUGGUGUAGGUUGCAGACGCGGCUCGGAUCCCAUAUUGCUGUGGCUGUGGUGUAGGCCAGUGGCUACAACUCCAAUUAGUCCCCUAGCCUGAGAACCUCCAUAUGCCUUGGGUGUGGCCCCAGAAAAAACAAAAAAAGGCCAAAAAAAAAAUAUAUAUAUAUAGAACUGGCUUUAUGAUGCCUGAUUAAUGGGAUGUAAAAUCCACAUGAAUUUAAGAUGAAGUGAGACUUAUUUAUUUUUUUGGCCGCUUCAUGGCACAUGGUGUUCCUAGGCCAGAGGUCAGAUCUGAGGCACAGCUGUGAUCUGCCAGUUGCAACUUACGUCACAACUGCAGCAAAGCCAGAUCCUUUAAUCCACUGUGCUGGGGUGGGGAUUGAACCUGUGCCCUGGUGCUGCAGAGAUGCCACUGAUCCCACUGUGCCAGAGAGAACUCCUGAGAUUUAAUUUUAUAGGAGGACGGAGAGACAAUACCUGGUUCUACUCUUUGAUACUUCUGGAUUUUCCCUCCUCCACAGUGUCAGAAGCACUUGAGUAAAGAAGUCUGAGAAGCAUUCAGAUAAUAAGAAGGAACAAUUAUUAAAUAUCCAUCAAUCUUUAGCUAAAAAAACACUAAGAUAUAAGAGUGUUUUUUUCUUUCUUUAAUGGGAAAUCAAAUUACAUUAUACAACCUGCUUGGUAAUUAGAACUGCAACUUCCUUUAGCUCUUUUUUCUAUCUCCACCCUGAAUAUAACCUACUGUAGCAAUAGUUCUGAAAUAGAGGCAUUCCCCUCAUUGAAUUCAUUUUCCAUGGUCUGAUAAAAUGUAAAAUGGAUUAUGCAAAUUCAUAUGGCCUAAGCAACAAGAGUAGCCUGCAAAUUCACUGAUUAAAAAGGCUUAUUUUUUCAAUGAAGUAUAUCCUCAUGUUUUACCUUAAAAAUAAAUUUCUGGAGUUCCAUGGUGGCUCAGCAGGUCUAGUGUUGCUACUUCUGUGGUUUGGGUCACUGCUGUGGUGUGGGUUCAACUCCUGGCCCAAAAAAAAUUUUUUUUUGGUACUCGACUCUUUUCCAAUGCUGAAAACCACUCCAGAGUUAAAAUAGCUGUGAAAUAACUGAAACAGUUUUUUUCUUCCUUUUAUCACAUGUUGAUGUACUUAAAAGGCUAUACUAAAGCAUAGGUAUACUACUGUUUGAUGAGUAAUUAAAAGAAAAUUAGAUUAUAUUGAAUCAUAUACUUUAAACAGGUGAACUUUAUGGUAUUAUAUCUCAAUAAAGCUGAGAGAUAAUCAGUCAUCUAGUCUUGUGGCUCUUAACAGUAGUGUAAUGAGAUCAGAAGCAAAGAGGAGGUGUGAAAUGGAGCUAGCCAAUCAGCAAUUGGGCUAAAUUCCCAGCCUAUUUUAUCUGGCCUUAGUAACCAAGAAAGGAGAGGAAGAGGGGGAGGGAGAGAGAAGGAGAGAGAGAGAAAGAAAGUGUGUGUAUGUCUGUGUGUGUGUGUGUGUGUGUGUGUGUGUGUUAGAGAAGUUGGCUCUGUCGACAAAGGAGGAAGCACUAAGGCAAAAGGUGAAGAAGAAGCUCAUGUCAUAGGUGAAAUUUUCAUAUAUUCCUAAAAACACAGACUAAGGGAAGACUUCUGUCAGACACCAAUGAAAUGAAACAUGAUGGUCCUCUUUCCUCAUCCAUGAACAGGCCAUUUUCAAAACAGUAGUGAGGGCACAGGAAUUUCAUUUAAAAAUACUUUUCUGUGGCCUGCCAACAACUUUCACAUACAGAAUGCUUGAGUGAAAACUGAAGGCUGCUUUUAGAAUCACGAAUUUAAAAACAUCUAAGAUUGUACUCUACGUAAAGGGAACAAUUUUGACAGAGAGGAAUACAAAUUAAAAAAAAAAGACAACACAUAGAUGAUAAAACAUGGAAUGCUGGUACACAUUUAUUCUUUUAUUGCUAAACAUCAAAUGCCAGCAACUAUGAUAUCUUCAAGUUAAAGCCUAAGAAUGAAUUACAUCUCAGUUGAAAGAUUUAUAGAAAAAAAACACCUGUGCACCAUUAGUAUGUGGACAUUCAAUAAAUAACCACAGGACAAACUGAUGACUGAGAGCCACAUAUCCAUGAAGCAUGUUUACACGUUACCAUUAGAACAGAUAAUGACCUAUAAGGGCGAUUAUCAAAAGGUCAAGUUUAACCUGCAUGUCUUUUCAAACUGAGAUGCUGAAAAGAAUAUAUACAUUCUUACAGACUGUAAGUGAUUAAAAACAUCUCUCACAAAUGUAAACAAUGCAGUUGGAACACUGAAAGUUUUACUGUUGAACAAUGUGACAACACAGAACAUUUUCUUCAAAUCCUCAGAAUAAUUCAUUUUUCUAAUUGCUCUUCAAAAACCAAAAUGGAUUAUUUUCAUCAAGAUGAUAACAUACCAGGGACACAAAAGACCUUCCAAGUUAUUAUUUUUUAUGCUGACAUAUAUUUACAGUAAAUACUCAAUAACACCUUUUUACAGCUUACUUAAAUAGAAACAUGCUUUUCUAACCCAUAAAUAACACUAAUCAUUAUCCAUUCGACCACAUUUAUUAAGUACUUUUGAUGUCUCAUGCACUGUGCCUGGGAUGCAAACAUGAGAAUGACACAAUCCUUGCUCUAGAAGUGCCCACAGUCAAGCUGAAGAGAAAUGUUUCCUUUCUUAAACAAUGAGGCCAUUUUUGUAAAAAUGGGACUAUCUGCUCAAUAUCCUAACAGAGCAUUCCCAAAUCCUGACCCUAUGGAGCAAAAGACCAAGGUGUUUAAAAGCUGUAAGAAAAUGAGGUGUUUGGGGUUAUUUUUCUAUUCAGAAAAUGAAAUUAACAGCUAAGAUUUCAUCUACUAAAAUUUUUCCUCAGUUAAAAAAAAAAAAACAACACAGCAAACCCUCAACUACGAUAAAAAAUUUUUAAAAAAGAAAAAAAAAAACCUGCACAUAUACAGCAUUUCUAUUCUGCUUUGUUAAUGUAAUCAAAUUAAUUAGGUAAGUAUUUCAUAGUAUUCCCCAAGCUUUACUACCUGAACAGGUCUGAGCAUUACUCUGCUAAUUAAUAUACUUUAAUCCUGGAAUACUGUCUGCCUAAAAAUAGAACAAAUGCCUUUUUCCUAGGAUAAACCAGUAAUUCGUAUGGUUUUAAGUAGUGGCAAUAACUGAUGACCUCAAGUUACUUAAAAAAAGUUAAAUUAUAUUCAAUAUAUAAUUUCUGUUUAAGAAGGCAGGCAGAUUUAUAAUACAAUCUAAACUUCCUUAAAAAUGACUACAAAGUUCUAGUGCCUAAAGAGCAACUCGGUGACUCAAAGAGGUGAACCCCAUGAAUACCUCACUUAGUGAAAGAGUUGGAUACAAGACUGUUAAAGUUCUUGAGUACAUGAGAGAAGCACGUAUUUUUCAUCAAACAAACAGCAUGCUCAUAUACUUCCUAAGACCAAUAGUUUCACACUGGCCUAUUGAGUUCCUGGAUCACCCAUGGUUGCAUCUCCUGUCUCAAAGAUCUCAAACUAGGCAGGGCUCUUUUGGGCUCAAGAGCCAGUUUCCAGGCUCUGGCAAAUCCACGUGUCCAUUCUCACUGUACUAUCAAGUCUUUCACGGAUGCACAGAGGUAGCUUAGAGGAAAGAUGGAAAACAAGGACUAUGUAUUUAAUUACCCAACAAAGAGAAACAUGGGAGCCACUGAUGAGGACAGAGUAUAGUUCAGGGCUUAAGGUAGUUGCUUCCUGAAGACAGAACCCAGGAGCUAGGCCCCAGUUAGCCCCAGCAGCACAAAAAAACCCUGCACAUAUACAGCAUUUCUAUUCUGCUACCCCGGAAGCGUUCCAAGCUUUACAGCUCUGUAGAGAAUGGUAACCAGGACUGCAGAAGGUCCUGCCAUCUGCCUUGUGAUUUGCCACAAGACGCACCUGGCUCAGCUCUAAGGCUCACCCCUAAGUGCCUCAGCUCACAUGCUGCAGAUGGGAGAUGGUUCCCGCAGCUCACUGUGAAUGUCAAGGCUAGUGCUGCUUUAUGAGAGUACAGGGACAUAUUAUCAAAGGGGCAACUCUUGUUGGGCAAAACAUGUUUCACAAUAUUAUAGACUGUACUUCCUAUUUGUUCAUGUAUUUGGCAUCGUUUGACAAAGAUUUUCCCUUUCCUAUCAGCAGAUUCUUUUACGGAAUUUUAUUAAUUUAAUUGUAAUCUCAGUUGUCAAGAGUACAAAAUAAUACAGUAUUUAAUUUUAAAAUACUUCUCAAACAAGACAAAAGGACAAGAGAUAUAGGCCAAGAAAAUGCUCACCCUUCUAUUUGGCCAAAGUCUGGUCUCCUUCAAAUCUGGAUUAAUGAUACUUUUUCAAGAAGUUUUUCCUAAUUAAUCCCACCCAAUUCUGUUUUCCUUUAUAUUAUUUCAACAUGACAUACAGUCACAUAAAAAUGGUUUAACAUGAAUCUGCACUGGUUUAGAAAUUGUUCCACAAGCAUCUGUCUGAAGUUUGUAGGUUUGGUCAUUAAAACUAGAAGGUAAUCAGGGACUAUGCCUGUCAUUUCUUCUGUUUAUUCCUCAAUCCAGAGUUUGGAUACUCUGGAAAAAGGAAGAACUUAAGUUCUUGGCUAAAAUGUAAUUUUAAGGAAACACU
rnacentral:lncRNA from 1 species